rnacentral:miRNA from 1 species
CUCACAGGCUGUGCUAUGCACAAUCUGAGGGGGACACCCUCCUACAGACCAUAGUGUGAAUGGUGCCCACUCAUGUUGUGCAAUGCACAACCCGUGC